rnacentral:rRNA from 1 species
CUGAAUCCAUAGGUUAAUGAGGCGAACCGGGGGAACUGAAACAUCUAAGUACCCCGAGGAAAAGAAAUCAACCGAGAUUCCCCCAGUAGCGGCGAGCGAACGGGGAGGAGCCCAGAGCCUGAAUCAGUGUGUGUGUUAGUGGAAGCGUCUGGAAAGGCGCGCGAUACAGGGUGACAGCCCCGUACACAAAAAUGCACAUAUUGUGAGCUCGAUGAGUAGGGCGGGACACGUGGUAUCCUGUCUGAAUAUGGGGGGACCAUCCUCCAAGGCUAAAUACUCCUGACUGACCGAUAGUGAACCAGUACCGUGAGGGAAAGGCGAAAAGAACCCCGGCGAGGGGAGUGAAAAAGAACCUGAAACCGUGUACGUACAAGCAGUGGGAGCCUCUUAAUGGGGUGACUGCGUACCUUUUGUAUAAUGGGUCAGCGACUUAUAUUCUGUAGCAAGGUUAACCGAAUAGGGGAGCCGAAGGGAAACCGAGUCUUAACUGGGCGUUAAGUUGCAGGGUAUAGACCCGAAACCCGGUGAUCUAGCCAUGGGCAGGUUGAAGGUUGGGUAACACUAACUGGAGGACCGAACCGACUAAUGUUGAAAAAUUAGCGGAUGACUUGUGGCUGGGGGUGAAAGGCCAAUCAAACCGGGAGAUAGCUGGUUCUCCCCGAAAGCUAUUUAGGUAGCGCCUCGUGAAUUCAUCUCCGGGGGUAGAGCACUGUUUCGGCAAGGGGGUCAUCCCGACUUACCAACCCGAUGCAAACUGCGAAUACCGGAGAAUGUUAUCACGGGAGACACACGGCGGGUGCUAACGUCCGUCGUGAAGAGGGAAACAACCCAGACCGCCAGCUAAGGUCCCAAAGUCAUGGUUAAGUGGGAAACGAUGUGGGAAGGCCCAGACAGCCAGGAUGUUGGCUUAGAAGCAGCCAUCAUUUAAAGAAAGCGUAAUAGCUCACUGGUCGAGUCGGCCUGCGCGGAAGAUGUAACGGGGCUAAACCAUGCACCGAAGCUGCGGCAGCGACACUAUGUGUUGUUGGGUAGGGGAGCGUUCUGUAAGCCUGUGAAGGUGGCCUGUGAGGGUUGCUGGAGGUAUCAGAAGUGCGAAUGCUGACAUAAGUAACGAUAAAGCGGGUGAAAAGCCCGCUCGCCGGAAGACCAAGGGUUCCUGUCCAACGUUAAUCGGGGCAGGGUGAGUCGACCCCUAAGGCGAGGCCGAAAGGCGUAGUCGAUGGGAAACAGGUUAAUAUUCCUGUACUUGGUGUUACUGCGAAGGGGGGACGGAGAAGGCUAUGUUGGCCGGGCGACGGUUGUCCCGGUUUAAGCGUGUAGGCUGGUUUUCCAGGCAAAUCCGGAAAAUCAAGGCUGAGGCGUGAUGACGAGGCACUACGGUGCUGAAGCGACAAAUGCCCUGCUUCCAGGAAAAGCCUCUAAGCAUCAGGUAACAUCAAAUCGUACCCCAAACCGACACAGGUGGUCAGGUAGAGAAUACCAAGGCGCUUGAGAGAACUCGGGUGAAGGAACUAGGCAAAAUGGUGCCGUAACUUCGGGAGAAGGCACGCUGAUAUGUAGGUGAAGCGACUUGCUCGUGGAGCUGAAAUCAGUCGAAGAUACCAGCUGGCUGCAACUGUUUAUUAAAAACACAGCACUGUGCAAACACGAAAGUGGACGUAUACGGUGUGACGCCUGCCCGGUGCCGGAAGGUUAAUUGAUGGGGUUAGCGGUAACGCGAAGCUCUUGAUCGAAGCCCCGGUAAACGGCGGCCGUAACUAUAACGGUCCUAAGGUAGCGAAAUUCCUUGUCGGGUAAGUUCCGACCUGCACGAAUGGCGUAAUGAUGGCCAGGCUGUCUCCACCCGAGACUCAGUGAAAUUGAACUCGCUGUGAAGAUGCAGUGUACCCGCGGCAAGACGGAAAGACCCCGUGAACCUUUACUAUAGCUUGACACUGAACAUUGAGCCUUGAUGUGUAGGAUAGGUGGGAGGCUUUGAAGUGUGGACGCCAGUCUGCAUGGAGCCGACCUUGAAAUACCACCCUUUAAUGUUUGAUGUUCUAACGUGGGCCCCUUACCGGGGUUGCGGACAGUGUCUGGUGGGUAGUUUGACUGGGGCGGUCUCCUCCUAAAGAGUAACGGAGGAGCACGAAGGUUGGCUAAUCCUGGUCGGACAUCAGGAGGUUAGUGCAAUGGCAUAAGCCAGCUUGACUGCGAGCGUGACGGCGCGAGCAGGUGCGAAAGCAGGUCAUAGUGAUCCGGUGGUUCUGAAUGGAAGGGCCAUCGCUCAACGGAUAAAAGGUACUCCGGGGAUAACAGGCUGAUACCGCCCAAGAGUUCAUAUCGACGGCGGUGUUUGGCACCUCGAUGUCGGCUCAUCACAUCCUGGGGCUGAAGUAGGUCCCAAGGGUAUGGCUGUUCGCCAUUUAAAGUGGUACGCGAGCUGGGUUUAGAACGUCGUGAGACAGUUCGGUCCCUAUCUGCCGUGGGCGCUGGAGAACUGAGGGGG